rnacentral:rRNA from 1 species
GAUGAACGCUAGCGGCGUGCCUAACACAUGCAAGUCGAACGGGGUACCCAAAACGGAGACUUCGGUUGAAGUUUUGGACUACCUAGUGGCGGACGGGUGAGUAACGCGUGAGCAAUCUGCCUCACAGAGGGGGAUAACACAGAGAAAUUUGUGCUAAUACCGCAUAAUGUAUAGAUAAGACAUCUUAUUUAUACCAAAGAUUUAUCGCUGUGAGAUGAGCUCGCGUCUGAUUAGCUAGUUGGUGGGGUAACGGCCUACCAAGGCGACGAUCAGUAGCCGGACUGAGAGGUUGAACGGCCACAUUGGGACUGUGACACGGCCCAGACUCCUACGGGAGGCAGCAGUGGGGAAUAUUGCGCAAUGGGGGCAACCCUGACGCAGCAACGCCGCGUGAAGGAAGAAGGCCUUCGGGUUGUAAACUUUUGUCUUUAGGGAAGAUAGUGACGGUACCUAAGGAGGAAGCCACGGCUAACUACGUGCCAGCCGCCGCGGUAAAAC